rnacentral:rRNA from 1 species
UACGGAGGGGGCUAGCGUUGUUCGGAAUUACUGGGCGUAAAGCGCACGUAGGCGGCUUUGUAAGUUAGAGGUGAAAGCCCGGGGCUCAACUCCGGAAUUGCCUUUAAGACUGCAUCGCUCGAAUUGUGGAGAGGUAAGUGGAAUUCCGAGUGUAGAGGUGAAAUUCGUAGAUAUUCGGAAGAACACCAGUGGCGAAGGCGGCUAACUGGUCCAGCACUGACGCUGAGGUGCGAAAGCGUGGGGAGCAAACAGG